rnacentral:rRNA from 1 species
AGAGUUUGAUCCUGGCUCAGGACGAACGCUGGCGGCGUGCCUAACACAUGCAAGUCGAGCGGGGAACUUCGGUUCCCAGCGGCGGACGGGUGAGUAACACGUGGGUAACCCGCCUUGUAGAGGGGGAUAGCCUUCCGAAAGGAAGAUUAAUACCGCAUAACAUUAUGCUUUCGCAUGAGAGUAUAAUCAAAGGAGCAAUCCGCUAUGAGAUGGACCCGCGGCGCAUUAGCUAGUUGGUGAGGUAACGGCUCACCAAGGCGACGAUGCGUAGCCGGCCUGAGAGGGUGAACGGCCACAUUGGAACUGAGACACGGUCCAGACUCCUACGGGAGGCAGCAGUGGGGAAUAUUGCACAAUGGGCGAAAGCCUGAUGCAGCAACGCCGCGUGAGUGAUGAAGGCCUUCGGGUUGUAAAGCUCUGUCUUCUGGGACGAUAAUGACGGUACCAGAGGAGGAAGCCACGGCUAACUACGUGCCAGCAGCCGCGGUAAUACGUAGGUGGCAAGCGUUGUCCGGAUUUACUGGGCGUAAAGGAUGCGUAGGCGGAUGCUUAAGUCAGAUGUGAAAAUCCCGGGCUUAACUUGGGAACUGCAUUUGAAACUGGGUAUCUAGAGUGCGGGAGAGGAGAGUGGAAUUCCUAGUGUAGCGGUGAAAUGCGUAGAGAUUAGGAAGAACACCAGUGGCGAAGGCGACUCUCUGGACCGUAACUGACGCUGAGGCAUGAAAGCGUGGGGAGCAAACAGGAUUAGAUACCCUGGUAGUCCACGCCGUAAACUAUGAAUACUAGGUGUGGGAGUUGUCAUGACUUCCGUGCCGCAGUUAACACAAUAAGUAUUCCGCCUGGGGAGUACGGUCGCAAGAUUAAAACUCAAAGGAAUUGACGG